UGAGCAAUCUGCCCUUCUCUUUGGAAUAAGCGUUGGAAACGACGUCUAAUGCCGAAUACGACCUCCUUUCGCAUGAUCGGAGGUGGAAAGCUCCGGCGGAGAAGGAUGAGCUCGCGGCCUAUCAGCUAGUUGGUGUGGGUAAUGGCCCACCAAGGCGACGACGGGUAGCCGGCCUGAGAGGGCGACCGGCCACACUGGGACUGAGACACGGCCCAGACCUCCUACGGGAGGCAG
rnacentral:rRNA from 1 species